rnacentral:rRNA from 1 species
UGGGGAAUAUUGCACAAUGGGCGCAAGCCUGAUGCAGCCAUGCCGCGUGUGUGAAGAAGGCCUUCGGGUUGUAAAGCACUUUCAGCGGGGAGGAAGGCGGUGAGGUUAAUAACCUCAUCGAUUGACGUUACCCGCAGAAGAAGCACCGGCUAACUCCGUGCCAGCAGCCGCGGUAAUACGGAGGGUGCAAGCGUUAAUCGGAAUUACUGGGCGUAAAGCGCACGCAGGCGGUCUGUCAAGUCGGAUGUGAAAUCCCCGGGCUCAACCUGGGAACUGCAUUCGAAACUGGCAGGCUAGAGUCUGGUAGAGGGGGGUAGAAUUCCAGGUGUAGCGGUGAAAUGCGUAGAGAUCUGGAGGAAUACCGGUGGCGAAGGCGGCCCCCUGGACAAAGACUGACGCUCAGGUGCGAAAGCGUGGGGAGCAAACAGG